rnacentral:sRNA from 1 species
UAUUUGACCUGUGAAAGGUGGAUUCGAACCCCCGUGGAAAUUCAUAAGCCGGUUCGACAACACGGCGCAGCCGUGUUGAACGCCGCGAAGCGGCGGCCCGCAGGGCGAGGGCCGCAGGCCCGAGUAAUCCCUCCCUCUCCGCCA